rnacentral:rRNA from 1 species
UCCACGCCGUAAACGAUGCUAACUCGUUUUUGGUUUUUCGGAAUCAGAGACUAAGCGAAAGUGAUAAGUUAGCCACCUGGGGAGUACGAACGCAAGUUUGAAACUCAAAGGAAUUGACGGGGGCCCGCACAAGCGGUGGAUUAUGUGGUUUAAUUCGAUGAUACGCGAGGAACCUUACCAAGACUUAAAUGGGAAUUGACAGAUUUAGAAAUAGAUCCUC